rnacentral:rRNA from 1 species
AGUGAACGCUGGCGGUAGGCCUAACACAUGCAAGUCGAACGGCAGCACAGGACAGCUUGCUCUCAGGGUGGCGAGUGGCGGACGGGGGAGGAAUACAUCGGAAUCUACUUUUUCGUGGGGGACAACGUAGGGAAACUUACGCUAAUACCGCAUACGACCUACGGGUGAAAGCAGGGGAUCUUCGGACCUUGCGCGUUUGAAUGAGCCGAUGUCGGAUUAGCUAGUUGGCGGGGUAAAGGCCCACCAAGGCGACGAUCCGUAGCUGGUCUGAGAGGAUGAUCAGCCACACUGGAACUGAGACACGGUCCAGACUCCUACGGGAGGCAGCAGUGGGGAAUAUUGGACAAUGGGCGCAAGCCUGAUCCAGCCAUACCGCGUGGGUGAAGAAGGCCUUCGGGUUGUAAAGCCCUUUUGUUGGGAAAGAAAUCCAGCUGGCUAAUACCCGGUUGGGAUGACGGUACCCAAAGAAUAAGCACCGGCUAACUUCGUGCCAGCCGCCGCCGUAA